rnacentral:rRNA from 1 species
UACGAGUGCUCCAAGCGUUAUCCGGAAUUAUUGGGCGUAAAGGGUGCGUAGGCUGAUCUAUUAGUCUCCUGUUAAAGAUCCGGGCACAACUCGGAAAAAGCAAGAGAAACGGUAGGUCUUGAGUAUGUGAGAGGUAAGCGGAACUUAUGGUGUAGGGGUGAAAUCCGUUGAUAUCAUAAGGAACACCAAAAGCGAAGGCAGCUUACUGGCACAUCACUGACGCUGAGGCACGAAAGCGUGGGUAGCGAAUGGG